CCAAACAUCAUCCAGGACAAACAGUACAGGAUUUUGUGAUGUUUCCUUCAGAAAUAGUUGCAACCAGUAAACUGCAAUUACUUCAUUUUCGAAAGCAGGCACCUGGGAACCCUUGCGUUGAUAUAGCUCAUGUACAAUAAGGUCCAAGUUGGGAUUUUUUGAAAGAGUGACGAAGAAGAUAUUGUUCUUGAAUUUAUCUAUCCAAAUACAAUUUAAGAGAAGUGUCACUAAAAGCUCAUUGAAAUAUGUCUCCAAUUGUGCAAAGGAAAACAAUAUACACAAAUGGUGGUCAUACAAAACAAUAUAAUUGGAAGCCUAACAUAUGCACAUAGUAAAGUGAGGCAACAUUCUUAAGAAGACAUAUCCCAGUCAUGAAGUUAUAAAAUCCUUGGUUACUUCUUCUGAAGUAAUAAUUCCUAUCAGUGAGAUGCGGUGAAUAUAUUCCUGUAAAGCUAUAACUGUAGAGAACAACUACAUUUAAAGGUUGAAUAAGAUAUCAGAAAUAUAGAACAGAGAGACUUGAGUCUCCCUAAAACCUCUGUCCCUUAGCCAUGCAUAUUGAUAUAAGUUUGACAUAAAUUUUCAAUCAAAUAAGACAUACGAUUCAGGCAACGGCUCACUACAAGAUUAGUGGCUUGAAAUGAAGCUAUGUAAAUAUGUUAAUUUGUUCAGAUGGAUCAGAUUUGGGUAUAUUUAUGUUAACCACCAACAAAAGGGAACUUAAAGAAAAUUGGUAUCUUCCACAUACCACUAAAACAAAUAAAAUCAUGUCAAGUUUCAUAUCAUAAUACCACUACCAUUAGACUACUAGUAUAGCACUUUUCAACUAGGAAGUAAAACUGCUUUACCAAUUAGAACUGAAAAAAAGAAGGUUGAUAUACCUUUAACUUCCUGAUCUUGACAAAACUUUUUUGCCAAUGUGGUUUUCCCACAUCCACCAGCAGCAGUCAGCACAAGCAUUGACACAUCAUCCUUAAGAAGCUUUAUCUUCAAUUCUUUCAAUGGCACAUCCAACCCAACUGUAACCGGUGGAGGUUCAGGCACUGAAGACCAACCAUUGAUUUUUUCAGGUUGGUUUUGCAUCACCAAGUUCCCUUCAAUUCGAUGCAGCACCGUCUCUAUAUUCCUCAAAGAAACCAAGGUCUCCUUGACAUCCCUUAUGCCCUGCACUUUCAACACCUCCACUAGUCUUUGAAGACAUUUAUCCAAUUCAUCAAGCUUUCUGGUGUAUCUGUAUUUUCUGCACCAGCUCCACACACCAACCUUGCUGCAUUUGUAAACAAGCUUUACCCCCUCCUCCAUUUGCAUUGCAAAAUUUUCUAGCCCCUCCUUUGAGUCAUAUUUUUCUCUCUCUUUGAUCACUGGCUGUAAAGAGUCCAGUGUGGAUUUGAUAUCUCCAAGCAUGGAUUUAAACAUGGUAGUCUCCUUCUUCACUGCUAUAACAGCAUCAAAUAGCAUUUGAAAUGCUACUCUAAAAGUACCCCCUCCGACUAAAUCCACUGCCAUGAGUAUAAAAUAAUACCCAACACCAAAAUCAGACAAAUUCUAUUUGUUUCAAAUAAAAAACCCAAACAACACGAAGACUCAAUGAUCUCCUUGCUCUGAUGAAACAGGACAGAAAUCCAAUAAAUGCUUUCUGAGAUGAAAGAGAGUAUAAUCUAGUUCAGUGGCAAAGAAUGCUAUGGAGAUGUAGUUUGCAACUCUCUGAACUUAUAUGAUGAGAGAGAGAAGAUUCCAAGUUGGAGCUCUAUAACUUUUUGAUUGACUGAUUGACUGAUUGACUAAAGCAAACGCAGUUUCCGAGUGUAAGGUUGUACUAAUUCGAGAAACUGCAACCAUUUGAUCACCAAAAAAACACAAGAAACUGCUACGAACACCAGAUUUUUGUUUCUGCAAUUUACCGUGUCUCGGAAACAUCGGGGGCAGAUGAUCAGACCGUGCACGCGGUGGAGAAAACAAGCCCUAAUUUCGUUAAACUUUUUUUUCUUCUUUUCUUUUGGCAAUUGCGAGGAUAGAGUUUAAAGAAAUAGGUCACAUUACACUUUUGUCCCUGUAGUUUGAGUAAUUUUUCACUUUUGUACCGUAGUUUCAGUUGUACCUACCAAUCCUAGUUAUGUAAUUUACUUUUGCAAUUUUGAUCCCAAUUGUUAAUUCUGUUAAAAUUGAAGAUGUAAAUCUGAUAUGGCAGCUUGUAUGUGAAGAAGUAAAAAUAAGCAAACUACAUACUAAAAUUGUCAAAAUUUGAAACAGUUUUACUAAAGUGUAAUUUGACCAAAGAAAUAAUACGAGAAAUGACACAGGGAAAUAGUGGUGGAGCCAUAAAGGAAUAAGGUGGUGCAGUUGCAUUUUCUCUCACCGAAAAAUCUCUUGGAAAGGUCGGGAUUUAACCCUAAGAUGGCGCCCACCAUGUAUUCGACUAAAUGGCUCAAAGAGACUUCGUUGUUUUGUUUGUUUGUGAUUUUUUUUUUCCACGAAUUAUGAAUGACAUUAGUAUUGUUUAAAUUCUAAGGGUAUUUGGUUUUUUUUUUUUGGUUGUUGAACUUUUAGCCUUUUAAAUAUUGCCUCUCUCUGAAAACUUCUUGACUCCGCAAUUGCAAGUAUUAAUGGAAAAUUACUCAAAAUGCAAGGAUCAAAAGUAUAAUUUGGCCAAAGAAAUAAUACGAGAAAACAAAACAUAGGGGUGGGUAUGGACUGAUUAUAUCGAUUAAAGGAUUUACUCAUUUUUCAUAAAAAUUUAUAAUAAAAAAACUAGUCAUGCGCUAGUAAACUUCAAAAGAAAUAAUCAGAGAAACAAAACGUAGGAGUAGGUAUGGACGGGCUAUUCUAGACAGAACAAAGGAGCUGCUCUUGGAAGACGCAAAGGUUGGAUAUGAAUGGGGGGGAUAUGUUUUUUUUUUUUUGGGCGGAAAUGGGGAUAUGUUUAUGUUUUUUAGGCAAGAUGAGAAAGAUUCGCACAAAUAUUUUGUCUCUCCAUCACAGAUCACUUCCUGCUGCAACCUUGAGCACUGUCUCUGUCUUUCGUCAUAGAAGGUACAUUAGUAUAUGGUACGAAGGAAAAAGGUAGAGAAGAAAAUUAAGACAAACUGAUGGUGGUAAAUCCAAAUCCUCUCAUUCACUUUGUUUUUACAACGCAAAAUGAAAACCAAAAAACGUAAAAGAGAAGAAAAGUAGGAAAAAGAAAUAUGGAAACACAAAUCACAGAGACAUUGCACCAACAUUUGUUAAGGACAGUCAGCUCUCAAGGCUUGCAGUAGAGCCAAUUAAGGUUGUGUUGUUCUUUUGCCACUGUUAUGUUUAUGUUUAUGAGACUGGAUUUGAAAGGCUCCCCCCAUAAGUUUUCUGUCUCUUCAUCACAUAUCAGUUCCCGUAACUCCCCAAGAUUCAAAACUGAUUGAGGCAACCCUUGCAGUCUUGAGCAUUGUCCCAUGUUGAUCUUUCUUAAACUACUCAUUUCACCAAUCUCUUCAGGCAGCUUCUUAAUGCUCGAACAAUUAUAUAUGUCAAGAAAGCUUAACUUGUUUAGGUUCUUAAUCGAGCCUGGAAGCCUUUCCAACUCUGUGGAGGACCUUAGCCUUAAUACCUCCAAAUUGACCAGCUUUCCAAUCUCUUUAGGCAAGGCAGAUAGCUUAUGACAAUUGGUAAUACUGAGCUUCUUUAGGCGGAUAAGAUCACAGAGCUUGGCAGGCAAUUCCACCAAAUCAUUGCAAUAGUCGAUGUUCAUUUCCACUAGAUUUGGAAAUGCCUCUAAGAUUUGGAUGGAAGAGUUGCUAAAAGCUUGACCGAUGCUGCACAUGAAUAAAGAUAUCUUCUGCAGACUCUUCAACUGCAUGGAGUUCUUGCUUAUGGAAGGAAUUGAAAUGCGCUCCAAUCUUAUUCUCUUCAGAUUAGCCAAAGAACCCAAAAGCUUGAAAUUACUCAAGUCAGCUUGUAAGACACCACAAUUUGUGACUAUUAGAACCUUCAACUUGGACAUUUUCUUCACAAACUUGGGCAGAACAUAGUUCUCUGUCUGAAAAUUCAGAACUAGAACCUCAGCUUUUGGUAGAUGCAUGUCGUGCCAUUUUGCUGAGGACAAUCCAUCUGCAAACCAAAGCUAUAUGAUGUAAGUUUUGGGGAAACAUUAAUGCAAAAGGGGAAACAUUAAUGCAAAAGUACCAUAUUCAAGCCUUAGUUUAUGUUUUUGGUAAAGAAGGAGAGAUGGGACAACCAGUUGAGAUAGACAAUAACCGGGUCUUUUUGGGUUUAUCCUUCUGUUCUGUCCACCCAUUAGGGAGAUUGUCACCACAAAUUUCUAUAAUCAGCCUUUUCUCCUGUCCAAUUUCAUCUUGACCAGUCUGAUGGAUAGCAAGAUUUCUAAGCAUGUCAUGCUGGGUAACAAAGUGUUCACUGUAAUAGCCAUCCAUCUCCAUCUUCCCAUUCCUGUUUAAGAUCAUAAUUAUUUUCUUAGCUAGUCAUAAAUAUAAAAAAGAAAGGGUAAAGUGGAGAAGAGAGAUCAAAGACGAGAUGAAUAGAAGCUUGCAUACCUUGAAACUAGAUUGGCCAAAUUACGAUUGGUUAGCUCGUGGAUGUGUGCAAUGGACCAAAAGUCCUCAUCUAGCCCAUAUAACUCUGCCCACAUAUCAAUGAGAGCAACAGCAGGGAUACAUCUGUCUUCAGGAAAUGAAGCAAGAUCAAUGAAGCAUUCCUUGAUGACAGCCAACCGUUCAUCCAAGGCAUCUAAGCUACUUUUGAGGCAAGCAAACAAAUAAUCCUCAGAAUCAAGAAUUGAAGAACCUCUAGACAAUUCCGCUACUCUUUUCUUCCAGAUCUCUGUUGGCCGUUCGCAAACUGAUCUUCCGAUCGUUGUAAUGGCAAGUGGAAAUCCCUUACAGAGCUGAACUAUCUGCAGUUAAAUUGUCCCAAAUGAAGUCAAUUACUAUUUGAGUUGCACAUCGAAAAUUUGACUUCAUCACCAAAUCAUAUCAAUUGUUUAAUGAAGAUAAGAAAAUGGUUAACCGGGUAUAUACUUUUCUUUAUUCUUAGUUUAGAGUUAGUUCAUAAGUAAAGUAGGCAUAAAAGUAUAUGCAUCUGCAGCUAUUGGUGUUGUUCAUUUUCGUGUAUGGACAGUUCUUAUAGAAAAUGAAGGUGAUAUGCAAACAAGAAAUCACCUGUUUCGCUAGAUCUUCCGGAAUAUCAAAGCUCCUAUCUGGUCGGGAUGCUGCAUGACGAAAAAGAGUCAUUGCAUCUCCUUGUUCCAAUGUUCCUAACGGAUAUGCAGGGCCAAAUCUUGGAAAUUGAAAUCUUGAUGUCACCAAUAUGUUGUAAUUUGGCCUUUUGAAUUGACCAAACUUAUCAAGAAGGGAUUCUGAUCCUAGCCAUACAUCAUCCAGGACCAAAAGUAGAGGAUCCUGUCCUGUUUUCUUCAGAAAUUCUUGCAGCCAGUUAAAGGCAAUUGCUUCCUCUUGGAGAGCAGGUACCAGGGAUCCCCUUUUUUGACACAGUUCUUGUACAACAAGGCAGUUGGUUCUCUUUGAAACAACGACAAAGAAGAUAUUGCUCCUGAAUUUCUCUGCCCAAGUAGAACAAAAGAAAGCAGUCACCAAGUGGCCAUUUAAAUCUGUCCACAAUUCUCAAAUUCUUUCUUCAACCGAUUCAUUCUAGAUUAUAACUACAGAACUUUUCAAUUUAGGAAUCAAAACUUCACCAAUUUGUAUAUAUAAAAAAAUAGGAAUUGAUAUACAUAUAUACCAUACCUUUGACUUUCUGAUCUUCGCAAACCUUUUGUGCCAGUGUGGUUUUCCCGCAUCCUCCAAGACCAGUCAGCACAAGCAUUGAUGCCUCGUCCUUAAGAAGCUCCAACUUCAACUCCUCCACAUGCACAUCCAAUCCAACUGUAAAGGGUGGAGGCUCAGGUAUUGCAGACCAACCUUUAAUUUGAUUUACAUUUUGGUUUUGUGCCGCAAUAUUCGCAUCGAUAUGGUUCACCACUGUCGCCACAUUGAUAACCCGAGCCCUCAGGUCACUUGCUAUGUGCGCUGUCAGUACACUUAACAGUGUUCUAAGAGAUGUAUCCAAUGCAAUAAGUUUUCUGGUGUACCGCUUAUUGAACACGUUCGGCUUCCAUGGACAAACCUUGGAGCACUUUUCAACGAGCUGAACACCCUUCUCCAUUUGUAUUUCAAACCUUUCUAGGCCCUGCAUUGGGCGAAACAAUAUGUUGGGAUGUUGCCUUACAUCUUCAUCCACUUGUUGAAACAAGUCUAGGGUGCAUUUGAGAUCUCUGAGGUGGGUUUCAAACAUUGUAGCCUCUGACGUCACUGCUAUAACGCCAUCAAGCAGCGCUCCAAAUACCGCUCCUAGACCAGCUCCUCCUACCGCAGCAAAUGCCAUAAAUACACUCAAACAACACCCAACUCUCAAGCUUUGUAUUUGUUUGAGUCUAAUCUGAGACAAGAAAUCAGUCUAUGUCUGUGCAGAUUACGAAAUGUGGAGAAAGUGGGAGACUCUUGACAGAGACCUGGGACCCAAGAAAAACAAUGUGAAUAUAUCGGUGAGAGAAUCUCUGGGUCAAUAAGGAAAGCUCGAUCGAAGCUCGGUCGUACUUUCUAGGAAAUUAUGUGUUCUUUUUAGGAAACUUUCGUAACAAGUAAAAUAAGCUUCCACACUGAAAGUGGGUCAUUAACGACAAGUUAGUCAAAGUUUUAGCAAAGCCAGUAGGACCACAUUUCGUUAAGAUAAUGAUUUCCCCACUCAAAUUGAAAUGGGGAAAUCACCACUCAUGGUUAAUUUCCUCCCAUAUAAUGUUCUUUAGGAAGUCCCGAUGGAAACCUCAGUAGGACCACAUUAGUAAUUUGGUAGGAAAUUAUAAGUGUUCUUUUUAGGAAACUUUCGUAACAAUUCCACACUGAAAGGUAGUGGGGCAAUUGACGACCACAUAAGAGCAGACACGUUUGUAACAAAGCCCACAAUUGAACACUUGGUUUUUUUUUUUGGAUAGGAUUGAACACUUAGUUAUACACUGUUUCUUUUUACAAAGCAAUAGCUCAACUAUUUACCCAAAAAAAAAAAAAACAUAAACCAUAAAGAGAGGAAAUUAAAUUCAGGGAAAAAGAAAAAUUUAAACACAAAUCAGCAGAGGCAGCUAAAAUAUUUAUUGAGGAAAUAAAAAUCUCAAGAUGGAAGCUUGUGGAGUCAAUUUAGGUUGAUAUCUUCUUUGACCACCUUUAUGUGUAUGUUUUCGAGUAGGGAUAAGAAGGAUUCCCAUAAAAUUUCUGUCUCUGAAACACAUAUCACAUCCUUCAACUGCUCAUGGUCCAAAAACUGAUGCAGGCAGGUCUUGCAAUCUUGAGCAUUGUCUCAUGCUGAGCUUUUUUAAACUGCAUGUCUCACCAAUGUGUUCAGGCAACUCCUUAAUGCUAAAGCAAUAGGAUAUGUCGAGAAAUUUUAACUUUUUAAGGUUCCUAAUCGAGCCUGGCAACUCUAACAAGUCUGUACAUGACCUAAGCCUCAACACUUCCAAACUGACUAGCUUUCCAAUCUUUUCAGGCAAGGUGGAUAAGUUAAUGACAGUUGGUGAUGCUAAGCUCCUUAAGGCAAAUGAGAUCACAAAGCUCGCACUACUACAAAAAAGCAAAAAGACGACGGUAAAUCACCGUCGUGUAUUUGGUUUUUCAAUGGUCGUGGAAUCCACCGUCAUCUUUUCCCUCAUAAACCACGACGCUAAAUAACCGUCGUUGUUAAACAAUACAACGUCAUCAAAAAAUACAAAACGACGUCUUUGUACUGCAAAAAGAUCUAAAAAAAGCAAUCGAGGAUGAUAAUAGACGACCAAUUCUCUAAAAAAACCGUCGUUAAAAAGGGAAAAUAUGACACAUAUUAAGAGAACAAAGCCGCAAGAUAGACAUACAACGACGACAAUAAAAAUACGCCGACGUUAAAUAUAAUUUUCACGACAAUAAAAAAUAUGACGUCUUUAAAUACAUUAGAAGACGACGUUAUUGAUACCUACUACGUCGCACAUAUAAACACAACCGUCGUACAAUUAAUUUUCCACUUCGAUUUUUCGAUAAAAGAUGACGUGGAAAUAGUUGUCAGUGUCAUUAUUUACGACGUAUGUGUUUCUAUAGUAGACGUUGAAAAACUAAACAACGUCAGUUACAAAUAUAUGAGAGUCGUAUUAAAAAAUUUAUACGUCCUAUUUUCAGAAACAAACAACGACCAUAAAUAUUAGACGUUGUUAAAUACAACAACGUCGGAAAACAAUAAAAACAGACGUGUUUAGUCUGCUAAAGUUCUACAACGUCUCUUAUUUACAAAAAACCGUCGUGAAAUAAAUUUUCCACUUCGAUUUUUCUAAAAAAGAUGACGUGGAAAUAGUUGUCAGUGUCAUUAUUUACGACGUAUACAUUUAUAUAGUCGACGUUGUAUUUAUAUGUAUUCAUUACUCACGACGCACUUAAUAAUAUAGACGACGUUGAACGUCUAAACAACGUCGGUUCCAAAUAAAUGAGAGCCGUAUUACAGAACAUAUAGACGGCGUAGAUUAUGAUGGGAGCCGUAUUACAAAUAACGUCGUUUAAUUGUUAUUAGACGGCGGUUAUAAUGAAUUUCCGUCGGAAUUAAUUUCGUUCCUCUUCGUUUAUAAAAGAACUUGCGACGUGGAAAAUGUAUGAUGACGUCGUAUUUUUUAACGUUCAGAUUACAUAUCUCGUUUUUUAGACGUCGGUAUUAUGGGAUUGGAGUCGUGUUAUUUUGAAUUACAUGGCGGUUCUUUAUCCUUCACCGACGUGAUAUCCUGAAUAAUUGCUUCACAAUAGCGUCGUGGUUCUUCAUUGUUACGUUGCUUUAAGACGUCGGUAAAUAUGCUGAAUAACUGAUUCACAAUAACGUCGUGUUUUAUUUGAACGUAGAAAGUGAAGAAAUCACAUUACAAUAUAUUACAAAAUUAAUGUCAUACACUGCCAAUUACAUAAGCAUCAUUCAAUCCAUAUAUCUUCACACCCAUCUCGAAUAUUUUGACCGCCUAACUCACCUACCAGUUCAUCAAAUGUGUCAACAUUUGGCAUCCCUCUAGUAAAUGGCUCACACUCAAUUAUCACAUCACCUAAUACUUCAUCACCAAUAACAUCAUUAUAUUCUCUACUAGGCAUUGAUAACACUACCGACCAACCACGAUGCAUCAGGUCGUCAACAAAAAAUAUUUGUUUGACUUGAGAAGCCAAAACAAAUUGGUCAUUCCUAUGUCCAAUUUUACUCAAAUCUACAAGGGUAAAUCCAAGUUCGUCGACUACAAGACCAGAACUAUCUAUCCAAUCACACCUAAAGACUGGGAUUGUAAACUUUUGGUAGUCAAGGUCCCAAAUUUCUUGAAUGACACCAUAGAAACCCAUAUUUGAGAGAAUUGGGUUUUUAUCCUUGGCACUAGCAACUUGCAUGGUAUGUGCAAGUAAAUAAACUCCACUAUUUUGAGUUGUCCGCACAUCAUCUUGUGCCUUGAUAUUGAAUUUAAUACCUUUAAUAAGAUAGCUCCUAUAUAAUGGCACUGACAUGUUUGGACCAGCUGCUAGCCACCUUAAAUUUUCUGAUACGCCAUGAUUGUCUUCCUCAACUUCACGUUGAACCUGCAAAUUAAUCAUAUCUUAAUUCAUCCUAACAUAUAAAUAAGAAGAAAAUUAAAAGAGAAAUACGUUAUUCAACAACAUAUACCUUGAAGCGUAGCCAUUGAAUGAAAGUGCUAUUGUGCUUAUCCUGCAGCCACUUUGUUCUCUUUCUAAAUUUUGGAUAAGCAGUCUUGAUGUGGAUCAUAUGUUGCCUACAUGACACGAAAAAUUCAAGCAUUACGGUCCCAAAUAUAUAAGAUAAACAUAAGAAAUAAUUUUAAAUGGAAACUUAAAGAAUAAAACUCAUACGUACUCGAUAUAAGGUAGGACUUCCUCCGUAUUCUCCAAGACAUAUAGAUGUGCUUGAUUCAACAGGUCCUGAUCAACUACGCUCACUGUGCAACCUGAUAAUGGCUUUGAAACUCCCAUCUUUUGGCUUGAAGGCACUCCAACUGUACUAACAUCAGAUAAAUGCUGAGUACAAAACUCUACCACUUCUUCAGCUAUAUACCGCUCAGCAAUGCAACCUUCGGGACGAGUACGAUUCUGAACAUACCCCUUCAGCACUUUCAUAUAUCUUUCAAACGGAUACAUCCACCUAAAAUAUACUGGCCCACAUAGACGAACUUCUCUGACAAGAUGUACUACUAGAUGAACCAUGAUAUCAAAGAAUGAAGGGGGAAAGUACUUCUCAAGCAAACACAGAGUAACUACUAUAUCUUCUUCCAACUUAUCUAGCUUGGAAACAUCAACAGUCUUUGCACAUAUAGCAUUGAAGAAGAAGCACAAACGAGUUAUUGCAUACCUUGCAGGCUUCUCCAAAACAGAACGAAUUGCCACAGGGAGCAAUUGUUGCAUUAAGGUAUGACAAUCAUGUGAUUUAAGGCCAAGAAGUCUUGAAUCUUGUACAGAUACAAGAUUUUUAAUAUUUGAAGAAUAACCUUCAGGGACCUUCAUACCAUAGAAAGAAUUGCAAACCUCUCUCUUCUCUGCUCUUGACAAAUUCCAAGGCCCAGGAGGCAAACGAGUACGUCUUUCUCCAUACUCGGGUUGCAAAUCAGUUUUGACCCCCAUGUUCAAUAAAUCUAAUCGAGCAGCAAUCUCAUCUUUAUUUUUUCCAGGGAUCUCCAGCAAUGUACCAAUGAUACUAUCGCAAACAUUCUUCUCAAUGUGCAUAACAUCUAGGGCAUGCCUCACAGGAAGGUAUUUCCAAUACUCGAGAUCAAAGAAUAUUGAUUUCUUCUUCCAACAAACUCUGUCACCAUUUUCAACCAUAUGCAGCACUUCUUCUCCGGUUAAUGGCUCUGGAGGUAUGCCAUAUUCAGGUUUCCCAUUAAAAGCUGCACGUUGCCUCCUAUAUGGAUGAUUGAUUGGUAACCAUUUUCUAUGCCCAAUGUAACAAAUUUUGUGGCCAUUUUUCAACCUGUGACUAGGUGUAUCAUCGCCGCAUAUUGGACAAGCUUUAUAUCCUUUAACAACACAACCAGAUAAGUUUCCAUAGGCGGGGAAAUCAUUAAUUGUCCACAUUAAUGCAGCUCUGAGUGUAAAGUAUUCUCCAUUAUGUGCAUCAUACACUCCUCUAAUCCCAACCCACAAGGAUUUUAAAUCAUCAAUCAAAGGCUCCAAGUAGACGUCUAUAUCAUUUCCGGGUUGUUUAGGACCGGAAAUCAAUAAGGUUAACAUCAUGAACUUUCGUUUCAUGCACAGCCAUGGAGGGAGAUUAUAUGUAACUAAGAUAACCGGCCAACAACUAUAUCUGCUACUUAGAGAACUGUGGGGAUUGAAUCCAUCAGAUGAAAGAGCCAAUCUCAAGUUUCUCGGCUCAUUACCAAACUCAGGCCAUUUAUCAUCAAGAAGUUUCCAAGACGGGGAAUCCGCCGGAUGAGACAUCUGACCGUCAAUUGAUUUUCUAGCAACAUGCCACCAAGUCAAACUCUUAGCUGUCUCAUGUGAUUGAAACAUCCUUUUAAACCUUGGAAUUGGGGGAAAAUACCACACCACCUUCGCUGACACACCCUCUUUCAAGAUUGCAUCUUUGCCUUCCUUCCACCUUGAGAUACCACAAGUAGGACAAUUAGUUGAAUCCUCAUACUCCUUCCUAUACAAGAUGCAAUCAUUGGGGCAUGCGUGCAUUUUCUCAUAACUCAGCCCCAAUGCACACAAAGUCUUUUUAGCCUCAUACAUGGAGGUUGGUAUUGUAUUUCCUUCUGGAAGCAAAUCGCCUUGAAGUAUCAAUAAUUCUGUAAAACAGACAUCACUCAUCCCAUGUUUUGCCUUCAAAUUAUACAACUUCACUAAUGCCGAUAACUUCGUGUACUUUCUACAACCAGGGUACACUGGUUGAUCUCCAUCCCCAAUCACAUUGGCAAACUCAUACGGAUCCGAACCAAAAUCACCAAAAUCAUUAUCAUCCAUAUCAAUUUCUUCAGACACAAAACUGUACCUACUAUGGCCAUCAUCUUCUUCAACAUUUCUGCUAGCAUUAGUAGUUGCUUCCCAAGGUUCUCCGUGAAAUGUCCAAUUCUUAUAGCUUUGGUCAAUUCCAUUAAAGUAUAAGUGAUCCCUUAUAAUUCCAACCCCAAACAACUUCAAAUUAACACAUUUAACACAUGGACAACGGAUAUGUGUUGUAGUUAGAAGAUUUUCUACAGCAAAGUUCAAAAAUGCUUCCACCCCAAACUCAUAUGCCUUCGAUCUUCUAUCCGAGUGCAUCCAUGACUUAUCCAUCUCCGACACUAUAACCUAUUAUCUAUAAUAAAGUGAAAAUACAGGCAAUGACCAUCACUAUAGCAGAUUAUACAAUGAUCUAAUCGCAAGUAAUAAACAACAGAGACGACGAGUUUUAAUCAAAAACAGACGUAUUUGGCAUAUAUAGACGACGGAUUUUCAACAGACGUCGUCUAUUAUACGUAAUACAAACGACGGUUUAUGAAAAAACCGUCGUGUAUAAGUAAUACAACGACGGUAGUUUAAAAACACCGUCGUGUAAUCGUCGUCGUACGCCUUAAAAUUCGUCGUGUCUCAGUUUAUUUUCAAGAACACAAAACCCAUUAAGAACACAACAUAUAUAUGAAACCAAGCAAGAAACCAACAUAUACAUGAAACCAAGCAUGAAAACAAUAAAUCCAUUCCCAAUUCAACAUAACAUAGGGUGAUUAAAAGAUACGACAAAAUUAAAUCCAUUCCCAAUUCAACAUAACAGAUAAUGUAAUCCAUGAACCCAUUAAACAGAAAAUCCAUGAACCCAUACCUAUAAGCAUUGGUGCACUUUGCACCUUCUCCAGAGCGGAAAAUGACAAGAUCAAAUAAAGGUGUCCUUUUGCUGGAAAUCAUUUGGAAGUUGGUGAUGUGUCUUUUUGUGUUGAUUUCCAGCAAAAGUACACCUUUAUUUGAUCUUGUCAUGAACCCAUUAAACAGAAAAUCCAUGAACCCAUACCUAUAAGCACAUUAUUAACAGAUCGCAAAGCAUAUACCUAAAACCCUUUAACAAAACAACCUAAUAUCAUUCAAUGAAUUUACAAGGGGAAGAUAGGGUUUGUACUUACAGGUUGGACGAGCUCACAGAUUCGACGAGCCUGGAGAGUGCAACUUUUAAUUAGAGCAGAAGUGAGAGAGCGAAAUGUUAUGUCGCGUGAAAUCUGAAAUUUUAGGUUUCAGGGAUCAAAGUAUAAGAAUAAGAGCCAAAUCUAAAAAAAUUUAGGUCGCGCGAAAAUUUUUAGAGCGCGCGCGUUAUAAAACGUCGAAAGAAAAACCAAGGCGAAAGUUCUACAAGUACCGACGUAAAUUUAAUAUUCCACGACGGAAACUUCAUUUUUCGGAUUAAGAACGUAAGGCUGUUCAUUUUUCGGAUUAAUUUUAAAUUUAUUUUGAAUUUUUUAUAUAACGACGACUGAAAAACCACGUCGGUGUUAAGAAAUUAAAGACGUUGUAAAUUAUAUAAACCGACUUACAUAUUAAAACAACGUCGUUUAAAGCGUAAACCAUGUCGUAUGUUUUACUGUACGACGUAAAAUAUGUAUUCCACGACCCAACCACCGUCGUUAAAAAUUAAUACACUAAACCCAUAAAAUUAAAUUAUACAAUUUAAAAAAUUAAGUUUAUAAAAGGUUUUAUGGUUUUAAAGCCUAACAUAUAACAUAGACUACCCAAAAAUUAUACUUUAAAAAUAAACCCCAAUAAAUAACAACCCUAAUCUCUAAACCCUAGACUCUAAACCCUAAACCAUAAAACUAGAAGUGAUUUUAUGACUCAUCAAAACAAUUUUGUUUUGGAUGGUCAUUUUAAAUUUUUGUUAUUCAAAAUGAAUUUUUUCAAGGUUUAUGUGGAAGAAAAUAUAUCAAUGACUUCAUAGGAGUUGACUUUUCAAUUUUCUGAUUUAUUUUAUAUUUAUUUUGAAUAUUUUGAUAUAAAAAUAAUAAAAUAUUCUUACCAUACAACAAACCACGUCGGUGUUAAAUAAAUUGUAGACGUUGUAAAUUGUAAUAGACUACUAAGUCGUUAAAAUGACGUCGUUAAAAUGAGAAACCAUGGCGGCUAUUUAACUAUACGACGUAAAAUAUAUAUUUUACGACUUAACCGCAGUCGUUACAUAAACGUCGUCGAUUAUACCCUGAACCCUUAAGAAAUUGAAGAUAUUGUAAACCAUUAACGACUCAAUUGUUCAAAGAACGUCGUCUAACUAUUUUUUUACGUCGUAUUUGUUUAAAACACGCAACAACAAAAUACGACGGUUAUUGACUUUAUUAGGUCGUUGGAAAAGUAUUACACGUCGGUUAAGCAAUUUGUAUGUUUGUUUUUUUUUUAAUUUAAGAAAACCUCAACAAAUUUUUACAUUACAUAUUAUAGAGAAAAUUGGUACAUUAUACAUAAAUAUCAAGUGUUCAAUAAUUGCCCUGUUUAAUAAUUUGGAAAACAAACUCUGCCCAUUCAUUCCGGACUUCAUCAAUGGCUUCUUGGGGGUAUGAAGCUUCCUGGUUUCCCUUGGCAUACUGCAUAAACAAUGACUAUUAGGGUUUAUAAAUAAAAAGAAAUUCAAUCACAGACGACGAUAUUUUUCAUAACCGACGUAGUAUAUCCAUUCAACGACGUUAAUUUUACACGACCGUCGUUGAUAAUACAAAAAACGACGUGAAAUGUAUGAAGGUAAUUUCUUCUUACCUUAUUCUCAAACCCCAAGGAAGGAUCCAUGAUGAUGUCCCUCACGAAGCGCAUUACAUAAUACCCGCAUUCGACAUUGCUGGGUUGCUUUGGUGUGCCUGAGAGAGUUUUCCAAAUUACAUUUUUACGUCCUGCUCGGGCUAUGUGGGUAUUAUAUAUUUUUAAAGCACUGUUCACGAUGUUUUUGGCCUCUUCAUCGACCACACGAUUUCCUGGCAGUGGAUCCAGAAAAUAGACGGUUUCUCUCUUUGCUCUUACAAUCAGCAAAAUCCAAUGACGGCUGCACAAAAUUAAUAUAAAAACGACGGUUAUUUACAAAAACGACGUAUUAUAGUAUUUCACACGACGAAGUAAAGUAGCUAACGACGACAUUAUAUAUUUAUCACGACGAUAAAUAAAUACCGACGUGGUUAGUAGUUUCAAACGACUAAAUAAAAUAAAACACCGACGUGGUUAGUUUAUAAGCUGUCAUUUAUUGAAAAUCAUAAAAACAAAAUCCUAAGGAGACUAACCCUGGAUUGUAAGGCAUCAUGAAAAUCUGUUCACCGUCUGUCUUCUGAAGUCGAGCUGCUACGAGUCGUGAUCUUUCAGUUAUUGUGCCAGAGUUGGCACUAACUGUAGCAGGGUCGAUAAAGCCAACCAUACUGCACAUAUUGGCUUUUUUCAAAACAUCGUGUAAGUACCUAAACAAAUAAAAUAAUAUAAACAAGUCAGCACACAAAACACGACGGUUAUGUAUAAAAAAACGACGUAUUAUAAUAUUUCACACGACGUACUGAAAUAGAUGAGGACGUUAUAAUAUAUUUAUCACGACGGUUGUUAGUUAAGACGAGGUGGUUAGUUAGUUAAGACGACGCAAUAUAUAAACCAACGAGUUAUUAUUUUAGAAGUACAAACCUCAUAUAUACAGCCAAUACAGUAGCUCCAAUUUCUUCCAUGCCUGCAAAUUGUGUAAUAUCUUCAGGCAGGAGGAAGGUAUCGCGCUCACCACCAAACACCUCCUUAUCAAUUGUAAAUUGGACUGUCUUAUCCUCAGGCAGGAGUGUCGUUUCCACAAAACGACAAAGGGUUUUUAAAGAAGAUGGCGCCUCCAUUUUUGAAUAAGCACCAACUUCAAUAACCUGUUUAAAGAAAUAAAAAAAAUGACGUGGUAAUUCAAUAAAGACGACGGUUUAAGUAAUAAAACGUCGUCUUAAAAGUAUUUAAACGACGGUGAAAAAACUGUCGUGGUAAUUCAAUAAAGACGACGGUUUUAUGAAUAAAGCGUCGUCUGAAACCAUUUAAACGACGGUGCAAAAACCGUCGUUUAAAUAUUUUAUUACGUCUUAAAAAAAUUCCGCCGUCUAAGUUUUAAACAAACGACGGAUUAAAUAAAAAUAUCGACGUCUGAAAUUUUGAAAAACAAAUAAAAAAGGCAAAGUUAUGUGAACAUACCUUGUCGUCAUGCUUUUCUUCAUCUUCUUUCUCCUUUUCUUCUUCCUUCUCUUCAUCUGGCUGAUGUUUCCCCAUUUUGGCAGUAUCAUCCUCCAAAUGUAGGGAUCUCACAUCACCUCCAGAGCAGCUAGCUUUGUCAGACAUUGAAUUUUUGGGGCUUUGGCUAAUUCUUGGUUUAAGCAUGCUUGGAUCAAAAUUGGGAAUUAAUUGGGAAAGCUGACUCAGGAAAUGCUCCCUCUCAGCCUCUACCAAUUGUUUUGUCCUAGCCUCCAUCCUUAAGGCCUCUUCCCUUGCCUUAGCCUCCAUCUUUUUAGUCUCUUCUUGAAGGAGAACUCUUAAACUGUCCUUCAAACGGUCGUCAAAGCUCACCCUCUGUGGUUUGGGCAAAUUGAAAUAUUGCCUUGGGGAAACACCAGCACCAACUCCCCUCAGUCUGCCUGGAUGCUCGGGGCCCAAAGCCAUGGUCAGCACAUCAUUGCUGCCAUUUACUCUGACUUUGCCUUCCGAGACUUGUUUCUGCAAUUCAUCCUAAAAAAAGAUAAACAAAAAAACACACGACGGUUAUUUAUGUACAAACGACGUAUUAUAUAAUUUCACACGACGCAAUAACGUAUAAACCGACGUUAUUAUAACUUAUCACGACGGUAGUUAUACCGACGUGGUUAUUUAUUUAAAACGACGAAAUGAAUAAACAACCGACGUCUUAUGCUAUAAUUAAAGAUAACAGAGUAGUGAUUCCUAUUUAGACCGUUAACGACGUUUUUAAAAAAUUUUCGACGUGGUAAUAUCAUUCACACGACGCGAAAAUGAACCACCGACGUCUUAUGCUGUAAUUACAGAAAACAUAGUAGUGAUUCCUAUUUAGACCUUUAACGACGUUUUUAAAAACUUUUCGACGUGGUAAUAUCAUUCACACGACGAAAAAUAUAACAUACGACGUAAUAAGAAUAAUUCACAGUUUAAUAAAAAUUUAAAACAGAGUGAUAGUAGGCUUACAAUUAAUUUUGCUUUCUCUGCCACCUUUGGAUCAGGGAUGUUACCAUGUUUGUCCUGUCUAGCUCUCUUCCAUAAGGUAGAUCGAUCAAUUUCUACCCCAGGCAUGGUUUCCUCCAAUUGAUCCUCCAAUCCAGCAUAUCCUUUUCGAGACAAUCGAUGAUUGUACUCGAGUUUCUCCCUAAUCUGUGCAUGUUGAGAAUGCACAGACUCAAAAUCUUUGGAUAGCCUUGAAGCUACAAAGGCAUCCCAUUGUGCUUUCUCUAUGAAUUUAUAUGUUUCAGGGGGUUGGCUUAAUUUCUCCCUGUCAUUGGUGUAUGGAAGGAUAUAAUGCCUCGUUAGUGUAGACUUGAAAUCCUUCCAUUUCUUGGAAGCAGAAGCUAAAACAGAGGUCUUGCCCCCUUGGCCUACGACAAAAGCCAUGUCAACUGCUUCCCAAAUCUGCUCCUUUAUAUCCUUGGGGAUUUGGGACCAUUUCUUGUCCACAAGUGGGAUCCUGGAGCGUGCCAACACACCAAUAUACGACUGCAUCUCAAUAUGUGCUUGGCCAACACCUUUCCCCCUUUUAUUGUACUCAACAAUUGGCCUCAGUUUCUGAAGCUUUCUCUUCACAACACGAGGCAUUGUGCUCAUACCUCGACCAGUCUUUGAAUCAUCUGAGAUUGUUGUCUGGCUGGUUUGUUCUGUCUCAGCAGAUGAUGAAGCAAACUUCAUCUUCUUCGAAGACUUCAUCUCCUUCGAAGACUUAUCUUGAGGAGCUACCAUUCCAAGCUUCUUGGAGCCAGAAUCCUUAGUUUGUUGUUGAGAAACCAUUUUAACAGACAAAACUGCAAGUGAAAAUAUUUCAGGAAAACAUUAAGAACACAAACGACGGUAUUAAAAAAAUACGACGUAUGAUAUGAUUUUAGACGACGCAAUGAAAUAAUCUCAGACGUAAUAAAUGUUUAAAACCAUUAUUUAUAUAACGUCGUGGUAUAUAUGUUCACACGACGUCAAUAGUAAUACACCGUCGUGGUAAACUAUUAUUUAUAUAACGUCGUGGUAUUUAUGUUCAUACGACGUCAAUAGUAAUACACCGUCGUGGUAUUAACAUUCACACGACGUAAAACAAUAAGAUAUUUUGUCGUCUAUAUUAGAUACCAACCCUAGUUUCUUUUUCUUUAUAUUUUAUCAAAUAAGGGAAAAACAAAAACCAUUGUUCAGCGAAAUCAAACCUGCAAUUAAACAAGCAUAUAAAAAAAGACUAUUAUUUUAAAAACAACUUUGUCAAUUUUCAGACGACGCUAGAACAACUGACGAACCGUCGUGGUCUACCGUCGUCUUAUUUAGUUGAUGUAGUUGUCUUCAAAGUUGGAAACUUUCUCUCUUUGUCUGUAUAUUUUAUCAAACUUGGAAAGAAGUAAAAUGAUUUUGGCCAGAAAAAAGGUAAAAAGAUUUUUCAAACAAAAAACGUAUGAGCAUGCAAAACAGUAACCAAAAUAGUGAAAAUGAAAGCUUACCUUUUGCGUGCAAUGAAAGCAAGAGGAAGAUGAUCGAUGUUUAAGUUCAGAGACGACGAAGAAGACGAUGAGAAACUCUGACAAUGCUCUGACAAGGAAAAAAGACGAAAAGGUUUCUCUGGGAGAUUGAAAUUUUUAAUCGGGUUUGGAAACAGUGCAUGUGUAAGUCGAAAAGUUGCUUACAUAUAAAACCAUUUCAAAAAAAUAAUACGGCGGUUACAUUUAACUACGUCGUUUUUAACUAAAACGACGCAAUAUUUUUCAUUCGACGUGGAAUCAUUUCAUUUAACGUCGUUAGGUUUAAUAUAACCGACGUGGAUUUUAAUUUUUAAAUUAUGAAUAGAAUUUUUUUUCCCGUGACCUUUCAGUUUAUUUUUCAAUUACAGUGCGUUAUAAAUAGAGUUUUUUUUCCGGAGGAAAUUUAAAACGAAGGAAAUUAAUAUUCUGCAAUAUGUAAAGUUUCUUUUUUGGAUGACAGAUUUAAAUAAAAUAAGAAUAUAAAAACAACAAAUGUGUAAGUCAAGUAGACGAAAAGUUGCUUACAUAUAAAACCAUUUCAAAAAAAUAAUAUGGCGGUUACAUAUAACUACGACGAAAAGUUGCUUACAUAGUUGAUGUAGUUGUCUUCAAAGUUGGAAACUUUCUCUCUUUGUCUGUAUAUUUUAUCAAACUUGGAAAGAAGUAAAAUGAUUUUGGCCAGAAAAAAGGUAAAAAGAUUUUUCAAACAAAAAACGUAUGAGCAUGCAAAACAGUAACCAAAAUAGUGAAAAUGAAAGCUUACCUUUUGCGUGCAAUGAAAGCAAGAGGAAGAUGAUCGAUGUUUAAGUUCAGAGACGACGAAGAAGACGAGAGGAAGACGAUGAGAAACUCUGACAAUGCUCUGACAAGGAAAAAAGACGAAAAGGUUUCUCUGGGAGAUUGAAAUUUUUAAUCGGGUUUGGAAACAGUGCAUGUGUAAGUCGAAAAGUUGCUUACAUAUAAAACCAUUUCAAAAAAAUAAUACGGCGGUUACAUUUAACUACGUCGUUUUUAACUAAAACGACGCAAUAUUUUUCAUUCGACGUGGAAUCAUUUCAUUUAACGUCGUUAGGUUUAAUAUAACCGACGUGGAUUUUAAUUUUUAAAUUAUGAAUAGAAUUUUUUUUCCCGUGACCUUUCAGUUUAUUUUUCAAUUACAGUGCGUUAUAAAUAGAGUUUUUUUUCCGGAGGAAAUUUAAAACGAAGGAAAUUAAUAUUCUGCAAUAUGUAAAGUUUCUUUUUUGGAUGACAGAUUUAAAUAAAAUAAGAAUAUAAAAACAACAAAUGUGUAAGUCAAGUAGACGAAAAGUUGCUUACAUAUAAAACCAUUUCAAAAAAAUAAUAUGGCGGUUACAUAUAACUACGACGUAUAAAUUACAAAAUACGACGGUACAUUUAACUUCGGACGUGGUAAAUAAAUACGACAGUAGUUUGUAGGUACCGUCGUAGUAAACUCAAAAAUUAAAGUACAUAAGUAAUAACUCGCGUCAUGGUAUAUUAUUUAACACGUCGUUAUUAUUAAUUUACCGACGUGGAUUUCUGUAAUAUACGUCGAUCAUACCGACGUUGAUUUUACAAUUUAAACGGCGGUUUUUUUGUAAGGACCGCCGUUGGUUUUAAAAAUUUAUUCUAUAAAUUUGUCGCUUUCAUUCAUUUUCGGUUUACAUUUAAGGUUCCAAGUUCUUCCUCUCUCAGUCUCUCAUGUCUCAAAGAUAAUAAUUUGGAUGUUUUCUCAAAGAGAAAUUGAGCUUACUCGCAUCAAAUAUAUGUCCACAAGAAGAAGCUUGUCAACUAGCCUUCUCACUUCCUUGAUCAAGCCUGAUAGGACACUUAGUGCUUCUGAAUACUCCUUGCUUUCCAUCAAAAGAGAUGCAAGCCUGGCCUCCACUCGCUGUCGAAGGAAAGUUCGCUUCUCAGGGAAAUCUGAAGAUCAGAUGUGCCUGAUCCUCUGCUUGAUUUUCUUGCCUAAGAAGAUCCGUCGGAUUUAUUGUGAUAGCCUCUUCCUUUAUCCGUAGAGCUUCAGAAGAAGAAGAUGGGUUUCAAGAAUGCGAUAAAGAAUAGAAAUGGCUUCAGAUGGCCUCUAAAGCAUGAGCAAUUGAAUCAGUAGUUUCUGGGAGAUAUGAUGAAGACAUUGUCAAUGCUUUGAACUACACAAGUCCUGCAGAAAGAUAUGUUAAAGAAACUGAAACAACGGCGGUUUUCUGUUCUACCGUCGUCUUUUCUCGUCGUCUAUAUUAAGUUACGAUGGCGGUAGAUUUAUAAUUACCGACGUAGAUUAUUUUGUUAAACGUCGUUAAGUGUACUACAACCGACGUGGAUUUUAAUUUUAAAUUAUAAAUGGAGUUUUUUUUCCCGUAUUCUUUCAGUUUUAGUUUUCAAUUCCAAAGCGUGAUAAAUAGAUUUUUCUUUCCCGAGGAAAUUUAAAAUGAGGGAAAUUAAUGUUCUAGAAUUUGUAAACUAACACGACGCAAUAUUUGCAAAUCUGUGUCAUCUGUUAAGAUUAUGAUGUGGAACAGAGUUCCAUCUGGUAAGAUUUCGUAACCCUUGGGAUCUCAGACAAAACUGAUUAUGUCGGCGGUGUUCUAUAUAAACCGUCGUGGUUAUUUCAAUUCUUGUCAUUAAGUAGAUCUACCGACGUAGGAUAAGAAAAUCAAAGAAAAAAAUUGUUAACAAAAAUUCUUAUUAAGACGACCGUUAAAAUUAAAGGUACGACGUAUAAAAUGAAUAAAUACGACGAUAAAUUUUAUUGUACGAUUUAAAGAUAACGUAGUAGAACUAUACGAGAAUGACGUCGAUAUAUUUAUAUUUUCCGUCGUUGUAAAUUAAUUUAAUACGGCGAUAUUUUGUAUUUUAAAGCCGUGGAUUUGUUUGUAAUUAUACGGCGUCUUAUACUAAAACCUCGUCGUCUUAUUUUAUGAGUAAAAACGGCAGUUUUUAUUGAAAUCGUCGUCUUUACUUUCUACGUCGGUCGAUUCAUAACUUCUGCCGUUCUUUGUUGGCAUUGAUUUUACACUGCGGAAAUCUGUUUCAAAUAGACGUCGGUUGUUUAAUUAUGUACGUCGUUGUUUUUGAACAGCCAUUUGAAACUCCAUUUUUUAGUUGUCUAAGGUUGUAUUACACGACGGUGUUUUUAGAACCGUCGUCUUUUUAUAAACCACGACGGUUUUCACUUAGACCGUCGUUGUUUUCUGGUCGUCUUUUUCACUUUUUGUAGUAGUGUCGGCAGGUAAUUGCACCAGAUCAUGGCAAUAAUCUAUGUGCAUUUCGGCUAGAUUUGGCAAUGCAUCUAGAAUUUGGAUGGAACCUUUACCAAAAGCUUGACUGAUGCUACACAUGAAUAAAGAUAUCUUCUGUACACUCAGCUGUUUGAGGUUCUUGCUUAUGGAAGGAAUUGAAAUGCAUUCCAAUCUAAUUCUCUUCUGAUGUAGAACACAUGGCCAAGUUGAUCGAGGAACAGUUGGACAGGCGCACAUAUUGUCGCGGUAGCAAAGCCCAAUUUGUGCAAGUAUGGGCCCCGAGCUCAAAAUUGGGCCCAUGACCUAUCGUUUCAUAGAGAAAGGCAGGACAAGUGGAACCCAUAGUUUUGCUGUGACGUGUGAGCUAUUUUAGACAAAUUCCAUUGUUUACUUUGACUUUUCCGCGUUUAAAGUUUUUUGGAUAUUUUGGGAAACUUUUAUUAUUUUCCUUUUAGUUUUCUAAUUAGCUUUCCUAGCAAGUCUAGGGUUUCUCAUUAGUUUUCCAAGCAAGUCCUAGGGUUUCUCUUGUAUAUAAAAGGAAUGCAUUGGAGCAUCCUAAAUUAUCUAUCUUAUUAUCAAUCAAAUACCUUGAGUUUUACUCAAUUUUCUAGUGGAUUCUAGUUUGUUGGUGGAUUCUGACGUUGUUAUUUUAGGAUUAUCGUUCCAUCUCCCUAUUCCCCUCUAUCUCACUGCGUCAGUUGGUAUCAGAGCAGGUUCUUGCCUGACUCGAAGUGCCUCCAAUGGCUAGUCCGGACGGAGAAGAUAGGACCCGUGGAGACAAAAAUUAAGACAAACUGAUGGUGGUAAAUCCAAAUCCUCUCAUUCACUUUGUUUUUACAAUGCAAAAUGAAAACCAAAAAACUUAAAAGAGAAGAAAGGUAGGAAAAAGAAAUAUUGAAACACAAAUCACACAGACAUUGCACCAACAUUUGUUAAGGACAGUGAGCUCUCAAGGCUUGUAGUAGAGCCAAUUAAGGUUGUGUUGUUCUUUUGCCACUGUUAUGUUUAUGUUUAUGAGACUGGAUUUGAAAGGCUCCCCCCAUAAGUUUUCUGUCUCUUCAUCACAUAUCACUUCCCGUAACUCCUUAAGUUUCAAAACUGAUUGAGGCAACUCUUGCAGUCUUGAGCAUUGUCCCAUGUUGAUCUUUCUUAAACCACUCAUUUCACCAAUCUCUUCAGGCAACUUCUUAAUGCUCAAACAAUUAAAUAUGUCAAGAAAGCUUAACUUUUUUAGGUUCUUAAUCGAGCCUGGAAGCCUUUCCAACUCUGUGGAGGACCUUAACCUUAAUACCUCCAAAUUGACCAGCUUUCCAAUCUCUUCAGGCAAGGCAGAUAGCUUAUGACAAUUGGUGAUACUGAGCUUCUUUAGGUGGAAAAGUUCACAGAGCUUGGCAGGCAAUUCCACCAAAUCAUUGCAAUAGUCAAUGUUCAAUUCCACCAGAUUUGGAAAUGCCUCUAAAAUUUGGCUGGGACAGUUGCUAAAAGCUUGACCGAUGCUGCACAUGAAUAAAGAUAUGUUCUGCAGACACUUCAACUGCAUGGCGCUCUUGCUUAUGGAAGGAAUUGAAAUGCGCUCUAAUCGUAUUCUCUUUAGAGCAGGUAAAAAACCCAAGAGCUUGAAAUUACUUAAGUCAGCUUGUAAGAAACCAUAAUUUGUGACUAUUAGAACCUUCAACUUGGACAUCCUCUUCACGAACUUGGGUAAAACAUAGUUCGCUGUCUGAAAAUUCAGAACUAGAACCUCUGCCUUUGGUAGAUGCAUGUUGUGCCAUUUUGGUGAGUGCAAUCCAUCUGCAAGCCAUACGCUAUAUGAUGUGAGUGAUGGGAGAAAUUAAUGUGGAAGUACUAAACAAGCCCCUGUGUUAGUGUAUGUGUGUGUGUUGAUGUAUUUUGUAAAGAAAGGGAGAUAUGCCAACCAGUUGAAAUAGAUACUAAUCGAGCCUUCUUCGUUUUAUGCUUAUUCUCUUUCCACCACGUUGGAAGCUUGUCUCCACGUAUGUCUAUGAUCAGUCUCUGUCCGAUCGGGUCUUGAUGACUCUCAUGGAUUGAUAGCGAUCUAAGCAUACCAUGUUGGAUAGCAAAAUGUUCACUAUAGUAGCCAUCCGCAUCUUCAUUCCUGGUCAUGAUCAAAAUUUUAGUUUCUUAGAAUAAACUUUGAAACAUGCAUAUUUGCAAUAGAAGCUUGCAUACCUUGUGACUACAAGAGUGGCCAGAUUGCGAGUGGUGAGCUCGUAGAGGUUUGCAAUGGACAUAAAAUCUUCAGCUCCCUCAUAUGACUCUGCCCACAUAUCAAGGAGGGCAGUAACAGGGAUUAUUUGGUCUUGAGGAAAUACACCAAGGUCUAUGAAACAAUCCUUGACGGUAGUCAUUCCUUUAUCCAAGUCAUCCAAGCAACUUUUGAGGUAAACAAGCAACUUUCGGUCUGACUCAAGAAUAGAAGAACCUUUAGACAAUUCCAGUAGUCUUUUUCUCCAGAUCUCUAUAGGUCGAUUGCAAAGUGAGUCCCCGAUUGCUGUAAUGGCAAGUGGAAAUCUCUUACACAACUCUACGAUCUGCAGUACAUGUGUCCCAAAUGAAGUCAGUUACCAUUUGAGUUGCAGACCGAAAUUUCAACUUUCUCUAAAUCAUAUCAAUAGUUUCAUGAGAGAAAUUUCAAAUCUCUCUUCAAAAUCAUAACAAUGGUUUCAUGAAGAAGAGAAAUUUAAACUUUUCUUCAUUCUCAUUUUAGAUGUAGCAACAAAAUAAAGUAAGCACUCUACUUGCAUGCCUAUUUGCAGAUACGGUAAAACCGAUGUGUUCACUUUUGUGCAACAAAAGUAAACAUAAUUCCUUUUCCCCUUUUGUGAUGCAUAAUUAAACAUUCAUGUUUGAAAUUCAGACUAACAACUCACCUGAUUCUGAAUAUCAUCUGGUAUGUUAGAGCUCGUAUUUGGUAGGAAUGCUGAACGACGAAAAAGAUCCAUUGCAUCUUCAUCUUUCAAUGUUUUUAGAGGAUUUGGACGACCAAAUUUUGGAAAUUGAUAUCUUGAUGUCACCAAAACCUUGUAACUUGGCAUUUUGAAUUCAUUAAACUUGUCAAGUAGGGAUUCUGAUCCAGAUUGAACAUCAUCCAAGACCAAUAGUAAAGGAUUUUGUCCUCUUUCCGUCACAAACUUUUGCAGCCAUUUAAAUGCAAUUUCUUCAUUUGGUAAAGCAGGUGCCUGCAUUCCCGUAUGUUCCCAUAGUUCUUGAACAAUAAGGUGGCUGAGCUUAUUUGAAACAGUGGCAAAGAAGAUAUUUUCCUUGAACUUAUCUAGCCAAGUACACAUAAUUAAGAAAACUGUCACCAAGACGUCAUAUAAAUUUAUCUAUGCUUGUACAAACAAGGAAAUGAUUUCUAUAAUUUUUUUCUUUAAUCUCACUAAUGAAAAUAAAAUGACGUUAAAUUUCAGGGUACCUUUGACUUCUUGAUCAUGACAAAACAUUGUUGCCAAAGUGGUUUUCCCGCAUCCUCCAGGAGCCGUGAGCACAAAUAUUGACACCGGUCCAUCCUUAAGAAGCUUCAUCUUCAGAUCAUCCAAAGGCUCCUUCAAGCCAACAGUAACCAGUGGAAGCGGAGGUACUGCACACCGAACUCCAAAUUGAUUUUGAUUUUGUGCCACAACAUUUCCAUCAAUUCGGUUGAGCAGCAUAACUUGAUGGCUUACUAACUGCACUGUCAGUAUACUUAAGAGUCUUUGAAGAGAGCCAUCCAAUGCCAGAAUUUUGUCUUUGUAUUCACGCUGUUUGAUGCAGUUCCACAUUCCCACAUCACAGCAUUCUUCAACCAGCUUCUUGCCCUCCUCCAUUUUUGUUGUAAAAUUUUCUAGGCACUCUAGGGAAACAAAAUGGUUGGCAGAUUGUGCUAUCUGUCUAAUCAGUGGUUGUAAAGAGUCUAGCGUGAUAUUGAGAUUUCUGAGGUGUGUUUGAAACAUCUUAGCCGUGGGCUUCGCUUUUAGAACUGCAGAAAACAGAAUUUCAAAUGCUGCUCCUAGAGCAGACCCUACAACUAAAGUAACCGGAUCCAUAAUAACAACAACAACUCAGAUCUGAAAGUUUGUAUUUGUUUCAAUCUGAACUUGUAAGACAAUAGGCAGAUUACAAAUGAGGAACAAGUGAGAGACUCUUAGGACAGGCUUGGAAGCAAGAAAUGCAAAAGGAGUCAAUAUGCUUUUCUCACUUGUCAAUGGCAAAAGAAUAUGUUGUUUGCAAGACUCUCUGGGUCAAGGCCUCCUCCCAUAUAAUGUUAGACCACAUUUAGUAAUUUGCUAGGAAAUUGUAAGUGUUCUUUUUAGGAAACUUUAGUAACAAUUCCACACCAAAAGUAGUGGGGCCAUUGACGACCACAUAAGAGCAGACACGUUUGUAAUAAAGCCCACAAUUGAACGUUUAGUUCAUACACUAAAGAAAUAGCUCAACUAUUUACAAAAUAAAAAAUAAAAAUCUCAAGAUGGAAGCUUGUGGAGCCAAUUUAGGUUGAUAUCUUCUUUGACCGCCUUUAUGUGUACGUUUUUGAGAAGGGGUAAGAAGGGUUGCCAUAAAAGUUCUGUCUCCUCAUCACAUGUCACAUUCUUCAACUGCUCAAGGUCCAAAACUGAUGCAGGCAGAUCUCGCAAUCUUGAGCAUUGUCUCAUGUUGAGCUUUUUUAAACUGCACAUCUCACCAAUGUGUUCAGGCAACUCCUUAAUGCUCAAGCAAUAGGAUAUGUCGAGAAAGUUUAACUUUUUAAGGUUCCUAAUCGAGCCUGGCAACUCUAACAAGUCUAUACAUGACCUGAGCCUCAACACUUCCAAACUGACUAGCUUUCCAAUCUUUUCAGGCAAGGCGGAUAAGUUAUGACAGUUGGUGAUGCUAAGCUUCUUAAGGCGAAUAAGAUCACAAAGCUCUGAGGGCAAUUCCACCAGAUCAUGGCAAUAAUCUAUGUGCAUUUCAGCUAGAUUUGGCAAUGCAUCUAGAAUUUGGAUGGAACCUUUACCAAAAGCUUGACCGAUGCUACACAUGAAUAAAGAUAUCUUCUGUACACUUUUCAACUGUUUGAGGUUCUUGCUUAUGGAAGGAAUUGAAAUGCGUUCCAAUCUAAUGCUCUUCAGAUUUGAUGAGGAACCAAGUAAUUGAAAAUUAUUUAACUCAGAAGGUAAGAAACCGUAAUUUGUGACUAUUAGAACCUUUAAAUUAUCCAUUUUCUUCACAAAUUCGGGUAAGGCGUAGCUGUUUGUUUCAAAAUUUAGAACUAGAACCUCUGCUUUUGGUAGUUGCAUGUUUGGCCAUUUUUUUGAGAAGGCUCCAUCUGCAAACAAUAUAAUAUAAGAUGUGAGUGUGGGAAAUGCGCCAAAGUAUUAUUCAAGUUGUAGUGCGUAGUACGUGUGUGCGUCUGUGUACAUGUGUGUGUAUUUACUAAAGAGAGAAAGAUGGGACAACCAGUUGAGAUUGAUAAUAUUCGAGCCUGGAGGGGCUGAUGCUUUUGCUCUGCCAACCACAUUGGAAGAUUGUCUCCACAUGUCUUUAUAAUUAGUCUUUUUCUCUGUUCUAUUGGGUCUUGACUCGCUUGAUGAAUAGCCAACUCCCUAAGCAUAUCAUGUUGGGUAACAAAGUAUUCAGUGUAAUAGCCAUCCGGCUCUCUCUCAUUCCUGGACGUUCAAUAAUAAUUGCUCAUAAGAGAUUUCUUCAAUAUAAAUAUUGGAACAGAAAAUUAUGAGCAGCAGCGAGUCGUGAGUAUAAAGGAAAAAGUGGAGUGAUAGUAGCAGACAAGAGGAACAAGGAAGCCUACAUACCUUGUGGCUACAAGAUUAGCUAAACUCUGCGUGGUUAGUUCGUAGAGAUUCGCGAUGGACAGACUGGGUUCAUCUAGGCCAUAUAACUCUGCCCACAUAUCUACGAGGUUGGCAGCAGAGAUCCUUUGGUCUCUAGGAAAUGAGCACAGGUCAAGGAAACAUUCCUUGAGGAUAGAUUUUUCUGUAUCCAAGGCAUCUAAGCUGCUUUGGAGGCAAGCAAGCAAAUCACUGUUAGAUGCAAGUAUAGAAGAACCUUUAGACCAUUCCAGUACUUUUUUUUGCCAAAUCUCUAUAGGCUGGCAGCGAAGUGAUCUUCCAACCUCCGCAAUGGCAAGUGGAAAUCCCUUACAGAGCUCUACUAUCUGCAGUCAAUUUUCCCAAAUGAAGUCGAUCAUUAUUUGAGUUGCAGGCCCAAAACAAGUGUGUCUAAAUUGGUUUCAUAAAGAUGACAAAAUGGUUUAAGUAAUUUUCUACUUCAAAUGAACGUAUAAUCUUUUGCAGGUUGAUAUGGUAAAUGGAAGUGUUCACUAUUCACUCAUGUAUAUGUGGUUGUUUUACAAAUACACAUACACACACAUAUAUAUAGGAAUUCUCAGAGCCGGACGUCCAUCCUUUCAACAAAAGGUGAAUUUUGUAUCUAAAAGACGGACGUUUUGUAGAGAGAAAAACCCCUAUAUGUAAUUAUACGAAAAGCAAACAUAUAAUCUCUUGACCUUCGUCUGUGACACAUAAUUAUAAGCAUAUAUGUUGUGCUUUGCGGAUAAAGAAAUCACCUUUCUUGUAAGGUCUUCCCGAGCAUAAGAGGUCUUAUCAUCCAAGGAUGCUGAAUGACGAAAAAGAGCCAUUGCGUCUUCAUCAUUCAAUGAUUCCAAAUGAUAUGGAGAGCCAAAUCUUGGAAAUGCAAAUCUUGACGUGACCAAAACUUUGUAAUUUGACAUUUUGAAUUGAUCAAACUUCUCAAGAAGGGACUCUGAUCCUGACCAAACAUCAUCCAGGACAAUCAGUAAAGGACUUUGUCCUGUUUCCUUCAGAAAAAGUUGCAACCAGUUAACCGCAAUUACUUCGUUUUGGAAAGCAGGCACCUGGGAACCCUUCCGUUGAUAUAGUUCAUGUACAAUAAGGUCCAAGUUGGGCUUCUUGGAAAGAGUGACAAAGAAGAUAUUGUCCUUGAAUUUAUCUAUAUCCAAAUAAGAUAUAAGAAAGGUGUCACUAGAAGCUCAUUUAAAUAUGUCUCUAAUUGUGUAAAUAUGAGCAAUAUGCUCUCUACACGGCUGAUAUUUUCAUCCUUCCAUAUCACUAUUACUAGACAAAAAAAGGAGUUUAAAAAAAAAGUAGGUUGAGAUACCUUUUACUUCCUGAUCUUGACAAAACUUUUUUGCCAACGUGGUUUUCCCACAUCCGCCAGCAGCAGUCAGCACAAGCAUGGACACAUCAUCCUGAAGAAGCUUUAUCUUCAAUUCCUUCACUGGCACAUCCAACCCGACUGUAACCGGUGGAGGUUCAGGCACAGCAGGCCAACCAUUGAUUUUUUCAGACUGAUUUUGCAUCACAAAGUUCCCUUCGAUACGAUGCAGCACCGUCUCUAUAUUCCUUAACGAAACCAAGGUCUCCCUGACAUCCCUUAUGCCCUGCACUUUCAACACAUCCACUAGUCUUUGAAUGCAUCUAUCCAAUUCAUCAAGUUUUUUAGUGUAUCUGUAUUUCCUGCAGCACCUCCACACACCAACCUUGCUGCACUUGCGAACAAGAUUUACCCCCGCCUCCAUUUGCAUUGUAUAAUUUUCUAGCCCCUCCUUUGAGUUAUAUUUUUCUAUCUCUUCGAUCAUUGGCUGUAAGGAGUCUAGUGUGGAUUUGAUAUUUCCAAGAUGAGGCUUAAACACGGUAGUUUCCGCCUUCACUGCUAUAACCGCAUCAAGCAGCAUUUGAAAUGCUGCUCUUAGAGCACCCACGCAUACUGCCAAUGCCAUAAGAAUAAAGCAAUAUCCAAUGCAAAAAUCAGACAACUUCUAUUUGUUAUCAAUCCAAAGCCUAAGAUAAGAGGAAGAAGAAAAAAAGCAAAAGUUGACGUAACUUGGGAUCAAAGAAAUCAAUAACUUAACAUUGGCGCAAGAACCCAAUCUUGUCGUACUUGUUGUUAGUGAUGCCGAUGGCGCAAGAAAGAAAUCCGAUAAACUGUUUCCGGAGAAGAAAAUAAAUAAGUUAUGUUGUUUGCAAUUCUUGGUUGCAGUGCCAAUGUUAAUUAGGUAUAAAUAAGUUGGACGACUCUUGACCAACAUUUGACCAACCCUUGACCCAGCCAAUCACGAUACGGACGCUAUUGAAUUCAAUUUGCCCAGCAAAUACCACGGGCCGUCUCCAAACUCGCAAAGACCAUUCAAUUUGCGCUUUCUUUUUUUAUUCAAGAAAUCUUUAUAAAAAGAUGAUAUUUCUUUAAAAACAAAAAAGGUGUAACUCUGCGUCACGCGGUGGAGUAAAGGAUAAAGUUACCAACUUUAACUCUUCUUAUAAAGCAAACGUACACGCGGGGGAGAACAUACUUUUGUCUUUCGAAGAAAUGAUAAAGAAAAAGCAUCAAAGAAGAACUAAUAAUUCAGGAAAUUUCUAUUAUUUUUUAAAUAGCUAGGUUUAAUAGCUAGGUUUAAUGAGUACUCGGACAUAACUAGUCUUUAAUCUAAUAAUAGUUAUUUUUAUUUAGCUAAAUGUUUAAAGACCGACUCAUAUGAAUGCAACACUUGGACUUUCUCGUAAGUGGAUUAUCUUGUUUACGUGUAUCAUAUAUCCAACCAAAGAAUUUCAUGUGAAAUUGCUCCAACUUUUGCUGUUGUAAUUGAGCUAAUAAUUACGUGCAGGGAGGACACAAUAUAGUUUCCUUUCGUUUUCUUAGAAUAGGCACAAAAACAUAAAAUUAGAUUAACACAUUUCUUAUGCAUUACGGCCUUGUUUGGUAAACCUCAUUGGACUAGACUACCUUAAAUAACCCCCACAACCCAUGUUUGGUGAAGCACUUCUUUAAGUUAAAUGAGACUAGAGAGUCUGGGCCUGCGCUCCAUUGUGCUUUGCUUUUCUCUUCUUGUACUCUGCGCUCUCACUCACUCAGGUUAGUUGUUCAACUCUCUUCCUUUCUUUCCACUCUUCUUCUCUAUCUCUCUCUUUAGUAUGCUAUUUCUUGGUUUGAUUUUAAAGUUUUGAUUAUGUGUUUGUUUGUAGUUAACUUAAUCUGAUAAGAGUUAUGCUUUUUAUUGGUUAAUUUUGGAUGGAUUAUAAUUGGGUUUUUUUUAGGGUUUUUAAUUUUGAAUUGUUUUGAUAAUGAAGUUUUUGUUUGGAAUGAGAAAAUAUCAACAAAUUGAUGGGUAGAAUGAUAGACGUUUGAAUUAAGGUUGAACUAAUAGCUGGAAGUAGAACACAGAGCUACAAAGUUCUAAGUAGGGUUCUUGCUUGCUACCUAUAGAAGUUAUGUUGUUUGGGAUUCUCUGUUGCUGUGCAGGAUAUAAAACUAACCCAGCAAAUACCAGGAGCCGUCAACGAAAGUUGCAAAAAAGACUUUUUUUAUUAUUUCAAUAGUAUCAAAUUAUGUGGAUGCUAUGAGCUUUUGGUUGGUGAAGUGAAUAAGCCAUAUGCUCUUUAUUUUUAUUUAUUCAAGAUGUGUUAUAAAACUAGAGGGAGAAAAUGUAGAGAGAAGUGAUAUGCUAAAGACAAAGUUUCACCAUGUUUAUUCUUCUCUAAAUCUUUGGUAGAACCACCUAUUUAUAGGCUUACAAGAUAGGAGAUUGAAUACCAUCAUUUACAAUAUACCUAUAGGUUACAAGCACUAAUUACAAAUACUUAGUGCAUAGGUUACAUAAAAUCCAACGGUGGAAUAUUAAGAGGUAUGGUGGUCAUCCACCAACUCAUGCAUUUACAACAAGAUGCUAUUUCUUUAAAACCAAAAAAGGGUAAGUUAUUCCUCGUUUUGGUAAAACUCAUGCAUCAAACAGUAAAACGUAUAAAAUCCUUAAGAAGAAAAACGUACAUGCGGUGGAGUAAAUGAUAAAGUAAGUAACCAACAACUUUUCUUUUGUUAAAUGUGACAACAAACCUUUGUCUUUCGAAGAAAUUAUAAAGAAAAAGCAAAAGGUUGAACUAAUAAUUCAGGAAAUUUCUUUUAUUUCUUAAAUAGCUAGCGCAACGAGCACUCUUACAUAAGUAGUCUUUAAUUUAAUGAUAUCUUUGUUUAGCUAGACAUUCAAAGACCAAUUCAUAGGAAUGCAACAUUCGGACUUCAUGGUGGGUGGAAUAUCUUGUUUACCAGUAUAAUACAUCCAACUAAAGAAUUUCAUGUGAAAUUGCACCAACUUUACUAUUAUGAUUGAGCUAAGAACUAUGUGCAGAGAGGACACGAUAUAGUGUCCUAUUGUUUCCCUUAAUCUAAUAAUAUUUAGCUAGACGUUUAAAGACUGACUCAUAUGAAUGUAACCUUCAAACUUUGUUUUUAGUGGAUUAUUUUGUUUGCGUGAAUCAUAUGUCGAACAAAGAAUUUCAUGUAUAAUUGCUCUCCAACUUUACUAUUGUGAUUGAGCUAAGAAUUAUGUGUAGAGAGGACACGAUAUAGUGUCCUAUUGUUUCCCUUAAUCUAAUAAUAUUUAGCUAGACGUUCAAAGACUGACUCAUAUGAAUGCGACCUUCAAACUUUGUCGUGGGUGGAUUAUCUUGUUUACGUGUAUCAUAUGUCGAACAAAGAAUUCAUGUGAAUUGCUCCAACUUUAUUAUUGUGAUUUAGCUAAGAAUUACGUGUCGGGAGGACACAAUAUAGUUUCCUAAUUUUGUUUUCUUUAAUCUAAUAAUAGUUUUCUUUAUUAGCUAGACGUUCAAAGACCAACUCAUAUGAAUGCAACAGUCAAACUUUGUUGUGUGUGGAUUAUCUUGUUUGCAUGUAUCAUACGUCGAACGAAGAACUUCAUGCGAAAUUGCUUUGACUUUAUUACAGAGAUAAAUGUUUUCAAAGGCAUGUGUAGGUGUGUGUUGGAGCUAGGCGAGAGCAAAUUGCCUCAGUAUUUAUAAUAAAUAAAGUUUUCCGUGAGUUCAGGUAUGCCCAUGAAAAAUUUAGAGCAUCUCCAAAGUAGAUGUCAAAUAUCAAACAUCAAAUUUAAAUUUGAUGGCUGAUGUGGCAAUUUGACAUUUACAUAGUUUUACACUCCACCCGAUAUGUCAAAUAAAUAAUUAUUGUAAGAGUCAAAUCAUUUAAAAUCAAAAAAAAUUAAAAAAGAAAAAUAAUAAAUGAAAGUAACAACUAGCUAUCUUUUAAAAAUAAUAAAAUAUUCAUUUGACAUCUUGCUUUGGGAUGUCAAAAAUAACAUCUCAACCUUCAGCCUUCAUUCCACAUCAGUUUUGACACAUCGGUUGGAGUGAUGUGAGAUGUUAUUUCUAGCCAUUAAAUGUCUAUGUGGCAGAUGCUCUUAUAAGGUUGAGUCUUAAUUUAAAACGACCCCUAAAAGUUAGGUACUUUUAUGUAGUUAACCCUUAAGUUUUAUAUUAUUUAAUUAUUUUUUAUAUUUUGAUUAGAAAAUAAACUAUUUUUUUAAUUAAAUUUUCAGUACACGCGGAGGUCAUUUUUGCAACAUCAACUUAAAAAGUGGGACCAAUUUUUACCACAUCGGCAGUUAACAGAAUUCUUAAUGGUCUUGUUAACGGAGGGGCUUGGAUGUAGGAUUUCUGUGAGUUUGGGUAUGAGUUUGCAGGGUCUUCAAAACUUGGGUGCCAACGUGAAAUAACCCCCAAAGUGCAAGGGGUUUUAUGUAGUUGAUCCUUUUAAUUAAGAAGUUUGAUAGAAAAAGCCGUUUGUACAACAACUCUAAUCAUAGCUCUGAUUGUAAUCCUUGUUUAAUCUCUUAUUGAAUUUAGCUACUUUGCUUCUGCUUACCCUCAACAAUGUCUUGAACUAUGGAGCAAGAUACAAUAUUGUCUUGAGGCAAUUCCUCAAUGCUCAAACAUUUAUAUAUGUCAAGAAAGAUUAAUUUUUUUAGAACCUGCAACUUGGUAAUACAUGAAUAACGAAACCUUGGGCGGACUCUUCAAUUACAUGGAGUUGUUUCUUAUGGAUGGAACUGAAAUCCGCUCUAAUAUUAUUCUCUUUAGAUUAGGUAAAGAACUCAUUAGCUUGAAUUUACUUAAGUCAGCUUGUAAGAAACCAUAAUUUGUGACUAUUUAGAACCUUCAACGUGGACAUUUCUUCACCAACUUUGGUAAUACGUAGUUCUCUGUCUGAAAAGUCAGAACUAGAACCUUAGCUUUUGGUAGAUGCUUGUUGUGCCACUUUGCUGAGGACGAUCCAACUGCAAACCAUAUGCUAUAUGGUGUGUGAAUGUGGAGAGAAAUUGAUGUGAAAGAACUAUUCAACCCUUAUGUCUCGUAUGGUAUUUAGGACUAGGAUUGGAUUGAAUUGGAUAACUCGCUAAAUUUAAAGCAAGUUGAAAGAAGAAUGGAAGAAAACAACAUAGCCCAAAAAGAAAAUUAAGAAAAUAGGUCCGAAUUGUAUUACAAGUGCUUAAAUCGGUCCUAUAGGUCCAAAAAAAUACAAGGCUUAUCUUAGGUCCAGCAACAUUUUUAUUUCCCAUGAGGUCCAUUUUAACUAUUAAAAUGCCAAAUAAAUUGCAAUGAUGCCACAGUUCAUUAUUUGUAUUUGUAACAAGAACGAAGGAGGCAGAGAGCUUUCCAUGAGCUGCUAUGUUACAGCUUCUUAAUUGAUUGAAUGGUAAAAGUUUGAAGCUAUUUCCUAUUUCAACACAAAAGAGACUCUAGCCAAAGUAAAGUAAAGAAAAACCAAACCAGAGAGCAAAAUGAUUUCAAAUAAGCGUAUUUGAACAAUAACUUAUCAGGUCUAUUCUGCAUUUUAUUUUGAAGGCAAAGGAAGUCUUCUCAGGCUGAUUACUCUCCGUGCACUCCUUUCAGUAUACCUAGAAAUUUUUUAAGUGAGUUAUCCAAUUCAACAAUAGGACAAUCAACAUUAGUAUAUUCUACUAUUUUCGCGAUAAAUGGUUUUAAAGAGUAUAAGCAGGAGUCUAAACUUAAAAGUAAUUAGGGUUUAAAUUUAAUGUUUAUUCUUCUCUUAAUGAGGGAUAUAUAUACUACAUAUAGAGCGAGUACAAAUAGGAAAUAUACACAAACUAGGUAACUAUAAUAAAAUUAAUACAAUAAUUACAUAAUUCUAUUCCUCAUAAGACUAGUUGACUCAUGCCAUCACUCCUCAUCCAGUUGGUAUUCGAAACGUCGUUUUGACACGACAUGGGUCAACAUAUUUGCAAGCUGCUCUGAAGAAGGCACAAAGGGUAUAGCAAUUAGCUUAUGCUCCAUCUUCUCUUUAAUGAAAUGCCGAUCAAUUUGUACAUGCUUAGUUCGAUCAUGUUGCACGGCAUUAUUUGCAAUUUCAAAUGUAGAUUGAUUAUCACAGUGGAGCUUUCUAGCACUGCUCUGCUUAAGCCCGAUUUCAGUAAGCAACCACCUCAACCAUAGUAUCUCACAAACCCCCUGGGCAAUCCCUCUGUAUUCAGACUCUGCAGAAGACCAAGAUAUAACAUUUUGUUUCUUGCUACGUCAUGUAACUCGAUUACCACCAACAAAGGUAAAGUAACUUGAUGUAGAACCUUUAUCUAUAAUAUUUCCUGCAUAAUCUACAUCAGUGUAACCUUCCAGGUCUAAAUGACCAUGUUUUCUAAAUAAUAAACCUCUACCAGAAGCAGACUUAAAGUAACUCAGAAUACACAUCACAACAGCCAUAUGAUCCUUACUAGGUGAAUGCAUAAAUUGAUGACUAGCAACACUCACCACAUAGGCAAUGUAAGGACGUGUUAGUGACAAAUAUAUCAAUUGCCAACCAACCUCUGGUAUCUCUCUUUAUUAGUUGAGACCUGAUCCACAUAAAUCCCAAGUUUAUGAUUCUCCACAAUAGGUGUCUCAGCUGGUUUACAAUCAAGCAUCCAAGUAUCUGCUAACAGGUCCAUGACAUACUUCCUUUGUGAAAGAAAUAAGCUAUGCUUAGAUCGAGUGGCUUCCACACCUAGAAAAUAUUUUAGACUGACCAAAUCUUUCAUCUCAAAUUCAUAUGCUAAACACUUCUACAACUCCUCGAUUUCUACAAUAUCAUCACCAGUCACAAUCAUAUCAUCAACAAAAGAGUUACAUUACCAGCCUUAUGUUUAAUGAACAGAGUAUGAUCAGUAUUGGCUUGUUGGCAACUAAACUUCUUCAUGGCUGCAGUAAAUCUGCCAAACCAUGCCCGAGGAGAAUGCUUUAAGCCAUACAACACCUUUUUUAAUCUGCACACGUUCCUUGUGUUACCAGUGACGCCAUAUCCUGGUGGAAGAUUCAUGUACACCUAUUCUUCUAGUUCACCAUGUAAGAAUGCAGUUUUUGGAUUAGGGAAAGAAGGGUAUUUUGGUCAUUUUUGCCCUACAGCUGCUAGGUGUUGGACAUGCACGGGGUUCUACAAGGAUUCCAAAGUGGAAUUUGGGUUGGGUCAUGUCAGAAAAACUUUGAUAAUGAGCAUAAAUUGAGUUUGAAUCAUCUGAUAAAAAUGCGGCAAGAUAGUGACCACAUUACUUUUAUGUUUCAUCCCAUACAACCACAUCAUACGAGACCGAAAUUGAGACUGUAUUGCACAUUUGUGCUAGAAAAACAUGGAAACAUCAAGAAGAAUCUCAAGAUGGAUGCUUGUGAAUGUGCUAGAAAAACAUGGAAACAUCAAGAAGAAUCUCAAGAUGGAUGCUUGUGGAGCCAAUUUAGGUUGAUAUCUUCUUUGACCACCUUUAUGUGUACGUUUUUGAGAAGGGGUAAGAAGGGUUCCCAUAAAAUUUCAGUCUCUUCGUCACAUAUCACAUUCUUCAACCGUUCAAGGUCCAAAACUGAUGCAGGCAGAUCUUGCAAUCUUGAGCAUUGUCUCAUGUUGAGCUUUUUUAAACUGCACAUCUCACCAAUGUGUUCAGGCAACUCCUUAAUGCUCAAGCAAUAGGAUAUGUCGAGAAACUUUAACUUUUCAAGGUUCCUAAUCGAGUUUGGCAACUCUAACAAGUUUGUACAUGACCUAAGCCUCAACACUUCCAAACUUACUAGCUUUCCAAUCUUUUCAGGCAAGGCGGAUAAGUUAUGACAGUUAGUGAUGCUAAGCUUCUUAAGGCGAAUAAGAUCACAAAGCUCGGCUGGCAAUUCCACCAGAUCAUGGCAAUAAUCUAUGUGCAUUUCAGCUAGAUUUGGCAAUGCAUCUAGAAUUUGGAUGGAACCUUUACCAAAAGCUUGACCGAUGCUACACAUGAAUAAGGAUAUCUUCUGUACACUUUUCAACUGUUUGAGGUUCUUGCUUAUGGAAGGAAUUGAAAUGCGUUCCAAUCUAAUUCUUUUCAGAUUUGAUGACGAACAAAGUAGUUGAAAAUUAUUUAACUCCGAAGGUAAGAAACAGUAAUUUGUGACUAUUAGAACCUUUAAAUUAUCCAUUUUCUUGACAAAUUCGGGUAAGGUGUAGCUGUUUGUUUCAAAAUUUAGAACUAGAACCUCUAAUUUUGGUAGUUGCAUGUUUGGCCAUUUUUUUGAGAACGCUCCAUCUGCAAAAAAACAUGCUAUAAGGUGUGAGUGUGGGAAAUGUGCGGAAGUACUACUGGCGCACAUACGAGUGUAUGUGUGUGCGAAUAUGUGAACAUUUGUGCGUAUGCGUUUUUACUAUAGAGAGAGAAGGAUGGGACAACCAGUUGAGAUAGAUAAUAGUCGAGCCUGCAUGAGCUGAUGCUUUGCCUCUGUCAGCCAGUUAGGAAGAUUGUCUCCACGUAUGUCUGUAGUUAGUCUUUUUCUCUGUCCUAUUGGUUCCUGGCUCGCCUGAUGGAUAGCCAACUCUCUAAGCAUAUCAUGCUGAGUAACAAAGUGUUCAGUGUAAUAGCCAUCCGCCUCCCUCUCAUUCCUGGAUGUUCAAUAAUAAUUUUCUCAUAAGAGAUUUCUUCAACAUAAAUAUUGGAACAGAAAAUUAUGAGAAGCAGUGAGUCGUGAAUAUAAGGGAAAAAGUGGAGUGAUAGUAGCAGACAAGAGGAACAUGGAAUCCUACAUACCUUAUGUCUACAAGAUUAGCUAAACUCUGGGUGGUUAGUUCAUAGAGGUUUGCAAUGGACAGACUAGGUUCGUCUAGCCCAUAUAACUCAGCCCACAUAUCUAUGAGGGUGGCAGCAGAGAUCCUUUGAUCUUUAGGAAAUGAGCAAAAGUCUAGGAAACAUUCCUUGAGGAUAGGUUUUUCUUUGUCCAAGGCAUCUAAGCUGCUUUGGAGGCAAGCAAGCAAAUCACUGUUAGAUGCAAGUAUAGAAGAACCUUUAGACCAUUCCAUUACUUUUUUUCGCCAGAUCUCUAUAGGCUGGCCGCGAAGUGAUCUUCCAACCUCUGUAAUGGCAAGUGGAAAUCCCUUACAGAGCUCUACUAUCUGCAGUCAAUUUUUCCAAAUGAAGUCAAUCAAUAUUUGAGUGCAGGCCCAAAACAGUAGUGUCUAACUUGAUUUCAUGAAGAUGACAAAAUGGUUUAAGUAAUUGUCUACUUAAAAUAGACGUAUAAUCUUUUGCAGGUAGAUAUGGUAAAUGGAAGUGUUCACUAUUCACUCAUGAAUAUAUGGUUGUUUUACAAACAUACACACACAUAUAUAUACAUAUAGGAAUUCUCAGAGCCGGACGUCCAUCCUUUUAACAAAAGAUGAAUUUUGUAUAUAAAAGACGGACGUCCUGUAGAGAGAAAAACCCCUAUAUGUAAUUAUAUGAAAAGCAAACAUAAUCUCUUGACCCUUGUCUGUGACACAUAAAUAAGCAUAUUGUGCUUUGCGGACAAAGAAAUUACCUUUCUUGAAAGGUCUUCCCGAGCAUAAGAGGUUUUAUCAUCCAAGGAUGCUGAAUGACGAAAAAGAGCCAUUGCAUCUGCAUCAUUCAAUGAUUCCAAAUGAUAUGGAGAACCAAAUCUUGGAAAUGCAAAUCUUGACGUGACCAAAACUUUGUAAUUUGACAUUUUGAAUUGAUCAAACUUCUCAAGAAGGGACUCUGAUCCUGACCAAACAUCAUCCAGGACAAACAGUAAAGGACUUUGUCCUGUUUCCUUCAGAAAUUGUUGCAACCAGUUAACCGCAAUUACUUCGUUUUGGAAAGCAGGCACCUGGGAACCCUUCCGUUGAUAUAGUUCAUGUACAAUAAGGUCCAAGUUGGGCUUCUUGGAAAGAGUGACAAAGAAGAUAUUGUCCUUGAAUUUAUCUAUCCAAAUAAGAUAUAAGAAAGGUGCCACUAGAAGCUCAUUUAAAUAUGUCUCCAAUUGUGUAAAUAUGAGCAAUGAUACUUUCAUCCUUCCAUAUCACUAUUACUAGACUGAAAAAGAAGUUCAAAAAAAAAAAAGUAGAGUGAGAUACCUUU
rnacentral:lncRNA from 1 species